CAUAGCGACUAUCGUGGCAUAUCAAUAAGCGGAGGAAAAGAAACUAACAAGGAUUCCCCUAGUAACGGCGAGUGAAGCGGGAAGAGCUCAAAUUUGAAAUCUUAAAGGGUUUCCCUUUACGAAUUGUAGUUUAAAGAAGUGUUUUCUGUUGGAGUUUCGGUAAAAGUUCUUUGGAAUAGGACAUCAUAGAGGGUGAGAAUCCCGUAUUUGGUCAUUCCUCCUAGCGUUGUGAUACACUUUCAACGAGUCGGAUUGUUUGGGAAUGCAGUCCAAAAUGGGUGGUAAAUUUCAUCUAAAGCUAAAUAUUGGCGAGAGACCGAUAGCGAACAAGUACCGUGAGGGAAAGAUGAAAAGAACUUUGAAAAGAGAGUUAAACAGUACGUGAAAUUGUCAAAAGGGAAGCGUUUGACACCAGUGUUGUUUUUCCGAAAAUCAAUUACGAAUGUUUUGUUUUUGAGGAGUUAUGACUUCAUCGGCUUGCUCCUUUCUUUACGAAACUUUCUUAAUGCACUUUUCGGUUAACAAGUCAACAUCAAUUUCUUUUGUUGUAAAAGGGUAUGAGGAAGGUGGCUUUCUUUUCGGAGAAAGUGUUUAUAGCCUUGUGCCUCUGACAAUCGGAGAGAUUGAGGUCUGCAGCGUAGAUCCUUCGGGGUUAGAUACAUUUGUGCUAAGUUAUAGCUUUUCAUAGACAACUUGUUGACUAUGUUUAGUCUUGUAGCUUACUCGCUUACUGCUAUUUUACCUACGCUUAGGAUGUUGACGAGACUGUCGAUCUC
rnacentral:rRNA from 1 species